AACAAUUGUUUAAUACAGAUGUAUAUAAAAGGAGCCACGGACAGAUGCCAGACAAGAGCUCUCUUGAGCUUCCAGCCCAUUACGUACCGGUGCAUCGAUAUCACUGCUGUCAGAAUCUGUUGGCAUUGGUACUCUUCCAAUUUGAACCACAUUCCUGGCUUGUGGGGUUUUCUCUUUUAACUGUUGGAUUUAAAAAAUGUCCUCUUUCUUGGGGAUUUUCUAAGGGGAGGUAAAGGACCAGGAGAGCUCUGUUGAGACAAAAUCAAAAUAUUGAUACAAAGUACUGAAAGUCAGACUUUUGUUGAUGUUUCAUUAUACCGG